AGCAGCAUUUUAUUCCCAAAAUCUAGGUUGUUAAGACUUGAGGGGGGAGGGGAGUUUUAUACUAAAGCCUGGUAGAUAAAGUUUGGGGUACUCUUGAUGGCCCCUACUUCUGCAUUUAUUGUGCCAGAGUGGGGAAGGAGCCAUGACACCUACGAAGCACCUGGCACUGGGCACUGUCAGAAGACAGGAUACUAGGCUAGAUGUACCAUUCGCCUGAUUCAGUAUGAUCAUUCUUAUGUUUUCAGACUGACAAAGAUCAAUGUAAAAUUUAACAUAAAGGGUCUUAUAAAACAGACUGAGUGGAGUAUUUAGACAGUCUUUAAACAACUUUUAUAUAGUUUGCAAAUCAGGGGCCACAUUUUGUAUGGUUUGCAAAUCAGCCACCACAAUUUACAAUUUUACACUUAACAAAUAAUUACUCUCUGCUACUUGUAGUAUGCCACAAUUUAAAUGUAGGCUGUUCUUAUCUUUACAAGCUGAGAGGCAGACCCAAUGUCAUUGAUUCGCUCACAGGCUUUGAUUGCUAUGUGAACUACAAAACUCUGCCUGCAAUAGUAGCAGGGCAGUUCCAUAUUACCAGCUAUCACAAAGCUAUAAAAAAAAAAAAAAAAAAUCAUCACUGAAAUUUUCUAGUAAUCUAAUUAAAUUCCUUUUUGCCUUAACUUAAAUUUGUACCUUUUUCAAGAUCACAUAUUUCAUUCACAUGCUUAGUACACGAUAUGAAUAGUUUAGUAGCAUUUCAUUGUGUUAAAGCUUGUCUUUUCAAAAUAAAGUAACAUGAUUAAAAGAGAUAAGAACAACAUAUGUCCCAAGUGAAAUUAGCCAGGUGAGUUAUUUUUCAGAAACACUCUCUACCCCAUUUGUUCCCUUCUGAGGUCUAUAAUGACAGAAAAUAAGUAGUUUAUGCAGAGGCCAAGGAAAAUGUGCCCCCUGAAAUGCUUGCCACCAGUUAUGCAGCUGAGGACGAACUCUGCCUUUCUGUGUACAGUGGAGCCUUCCAGGACAGAUACUUCAGCAAGUUCUUCAGGAACCUUCCCACAAUGCCAGAUAAAUCAGUGCAAGCGUUCGUGGAGAGGAUGUGCAUCACCAACACAAUCACCAUAAUGUGGACAUGCAAAAGAGACUUAAUUAUUGAGAAGUUUACAACUGAGCACUGACAUAAUACAGCUUUGGAACUGCAAAAGAAGAACGCUGCUUUCCUUUUUUUUAAGUUUACAUUUAACACAAUGGCUGUACUGUAUUUGCUUUUUUUUAUCAUCUUUGCUGCUGCCUCAUCAUCUCUGCCUGGUGCCUGCUAUGGGGUCUUACUCCCCACACUCAUUAGCAGCAGUGGGAAAAACAGAACAGCACAGCGCCAGCUCCCUCUGCUCCUCUGUCUAUGUCGUUUGGGGGACGGCCACAUCUGCCCCCACACUCACUGGUAGGAAGCAGAGUGAUGUCAUCAAGGGAGCAGAGCGAGCUGGGACCGGAUUGCUCUUCUUCCUCUGCUGGUGAGUGUGGGAGAAGAAGGCCUUGCUGCCAGCGCCCACUAAUCCCCUGGGAUACCUUGGCUGGAGGAAGAGGCAGGGCAGGGGUGGAGCAAGUAUGGGGAGGGGAGGAACAGAGCAAGGAGAGGCAGAGUGUGCGGUAGAGGGGCAGCUGUCCUGGCCCUUCCCCAUUCUGGGGGAGGGUCAUGUAACCAGUGGUCCCCCAGGUUUCCCCUCACCAGCCAGCUCUGAUUAAGCUAUAAAUCCAGUCACUUUGUUAAGACCAUUAUUUAUAGUUUCUAGCAGAGCCCAAGUUAGUCUUUUGUCUUGUCUGUAAAGCACUGAGCAUACUUUUGUGUAUUAUGCACCUAUUUCUGGCACAACGAGCCAGGGAUGUAAUAGUGUGGUCGAUUAACUGAUAAGCAAAAGCUUAUC